rnacentral:rRNA from 1 species
UACAGAGGGUGCGAGCGUUAAUCGGAAUUACUGGGCGUAAAGGGCGCGUAGGCGGCCGUUUGCGUCGGAUGUGAAAUCCCGGGGCUCAACCUCGGAACUGCCUUUGAUACAGCAAGUCUUGAGUUCGAGAGAGGUGGGUGGAAUUCCUAGUGUAGAGGUGAAAUUCGUAGAUAUUAGGAAGAACACCGGUGGCGAAGGCGGCCCACUGGCUCGAUACUGACGCUGAGGUGCGAAAGCGUGGGGAGCAAACAGG